rnacentral:rRNA from 1 species
UACGUAGGGAGCAAGCGUUGUCCGGAUUCACUGGGUGUAAAGGGUGCGCAGGCGGAUUGGCAAGUCAGAGGUGAAAUCUCACAGCUUAACUGUGAAACUGCCUUUGAUACUUCCAAUCUUGAGUUAAAGAGAGGUUGAUGGAAUUUCAGGUGUAGCGGUGAAAUGCGUAGAUAUCUGAAAGAACACCAGUGGCGAAGGCGGUCAACUGGCUUUUAACUGACGCUCAGGCACGAAAGCGUGGGUAGCGAACAGG